rfam:Trichobilharzia regenti genome assembly, scaffold: TRE_scaffold0006504
AUCUAGAUGGCGGACGAGUCCCAAAUAGGACGAAAUGCGCAUCCUGGAU